GUCAGGUCUCAGGUGACGCACCCUGGAAUCAGGCUCUCUCCUCUCUGGUUCUGGGUGUGUCAUGUUAGAACUGCA
rfam:Myotis lucifugus cont2.24326, whole genome shotgun sequence.